UACGUAGGGUGCAAGCGUUAAUCGGAAUUACUGGGCGUAAAGCGUGCGCAGGCGGUGUUGUAAGUCAGAUGUGAAAUCCCCGGGCUCAACCUGGGAACUGCAUUUGAGACUGCAUCGCUGGAGUGCGGCAGAGGGGGAUGGAAUUCCGCGUGUAGCAGUGAAAUGCGUAGAUAUGCGGAGGAACACCGAUGGCGAAGGCAAUCCCCUGGGCCUGCACUGACGCUCAUGCACGAAAGCGUGGGGAGCAAACAGG
rnacentral:rRNA from 1 species